AAAUACGAGGCCGGAAGCAGUUGUGAUGAAUUCUUAGUUUUAUUGCCGUUGAUUUUUUAGGUGAAUGAAGACAGUGAUGAUCACAGAGACCCUCACAGGGGUCGGAGGUCAAUGAAACACAAGUGACGUUAGCAUCAUUAACAGCUACUAAUGGAGUCAUGGAGCUAAUUAAUGCUCUAAUCAGACGGCUAAUCGAUGAGCUAAGCUACAUUUCUGGAAGACUGAGGUUAAACAGGAAGUCACAGAGACACACAAAAUCACAACAAAAUGGCCGACGCUGGAUGAUUGAGGUCACCGUGUAUCUGAGCGUGGGCUGGAAACAGGAACCACUAGCUCUGAACCGCUAGCACUGAACCACUAGCUCUGAGCCACUAGCAUCACUGAGGAGAUCAGAAUAACAAAGAUUCAAAGUCGGUUCUUCAGAGGAAACGUGUUUGCAGAUGAUGUUAAAAUGUUGAACGCCCAGAAAUCUGACAGUUCAAACACAACAAGCUUGUAAAGUAGCUGCUGCAUGCUACAUGUUAGCGAAAAACUGAACUGUUACCACUGGCUUUGUUUUGUUUUGCUAAGCUUAAUUAAUUAAUCAGGCCUCUUUUAUUUUUUAUUCUCUUAGUUAUUGUGUUUAAGUAUUUAUUUUACUUUUAGUAAAGUGCUAUUUAACUAAAGUACAUUUAGAUUUACAUGAACAUAUUUUCAGCCGGUUAAACUAAACUACAGCUAACACCUGAUCCUCAUCCUAAUGCUAAGAGCUAACCGUUGCUAAACCACAUUUAAAGCUGACGUCCCGUUUCCAGCCCAAACACAGACGGGUCUGAUCGGAGGAGAGCGCCCCCUGCUGGUUCCACUGCAACAUCCAACACAAAAACCAUUCAGGAUAUUUUUGGUAGUUUUUCUGUAGAACCUGUGCCGUCCGUUCACAGAAAAUCUUUAAAUGUUAUCUGUAAAACCAGUUCGGUUCGGUUUGUUGUUGCCGUGACGACCAGCAGGCAGUCCUCACCCAAUCCAAACCAGCCGUUCACAUUUAGACAUUUAGAUUUUAAGAGUUUGAAACAUUUGGCAUCUCUUCACCUGCAGCAGAACAUUUUUAUUCUUCUGUACAUUUAAUCUCUUUAAGAUGCAGCUUAAAAACGUUUUAUCAAGAUUUACUUUUAUAUUAGUCUAAAAAUAUGUAGUUCGUGUUUAUUCUGUUUGAACAAAAAAAAUGGAUUAAACUGAAUUAAAUAGACGUUAAUGAUGAGACACGAUUUAAGAGGUAAGAUUUUUUUUAACAAAAUUAGCUCCUGUGCAAAAAAAUAUUAGAACUAUUUACACAAGGUCUUAGUUACUCUGAGACCGUCCAGUACCUCUGAGUAAUCUGAUUACACCUGUCCAUCCGGGUCCAGGUGUGGACACGUGUAGACAUGAUGUGGGACACAUUGGUUACAAGUUGUGUCUUUAUUCCCUUUGUUUCUGAGCAGAGACCUGGAAGCCUCCAGGGUUCAGGUCUAAACGGAGUCUUUGUCUCUAAAAUAAAUGAAGAACGUUAACAUGUGAGAGUCUUUACAUCUAGUUCUAAAUCUGGAUCCAAGUCUCCAACCACCUGGUCCUGGUUCUGGUCCAGUGGUAGGUAGAGAUCCAUCAGAGACAGCAGCUGAUACAAUAUUCUACUGACCACAUGGUGGCGCUGCAGCUGACUACACUCAGACUGAGACCAGAUCUCCAGUUCUGUCUAAGGACGAAUUAGUGGAGACACAUUUUAAUUAAGACCAGGUACAUGGACCAGGUGAGACCAGGUGAGACCAGUUGGGACCAGGUGAGACCAGAUGGGACCAGGUAGGACCAGGUAGAUGGACCAGGUGGGACCAGGUGGGACCAGGUAGAUGGACCAGUUGGGACCAGGUGGGACCAGGUGGGACCAGGUGAGACCAGGUGAGACCAGGUGAGACCAGGUGGGACCAGGCGUUAAAGGUCUGAAUGAGGCUUUAAAAUAUUUCUGUUUUUCUAUCAGUCGUGUGAAUAAACGUCUUUCUGGGCCUUUGAACUCGAAGGUUUGGUGAUUUCUGACCAGACUGAAACACCUGAUCCAAUCCUUCCUCAAACACAUUUAACAUUGAAAGCUAACUUCUUUUAUCGUUAGCAGUUGAUGCUAACAUGUUAGCAAACAGACGCGCACAUCUCAUUCUGUUUUUUGUUCAUAAAACCAAAAGUCUCUGGACAAGUUCUUGACUUUCUAAACGUUGGGUUGAAACCACGUCCGUCUGUUUCUGGCUAAAGAUUCUGUGAUUUUCUGAUUUUUGGCAGAUGAGACAUAAUGAGUCCAUGUCGUGCUCUGACUCCCCAGGUCAGGUCCUCUCACUGCUGGUGUUCCUGAUGCGACAGAUUCAACGUCUUUUAUCCUCCAGACUAAAACACAUCGGAUCAAAGUGGAGAGAGUCUGAGCCGUGGGGGUUCAGAGGGAAAAACACUGGUCUUUGUUCCACACAGAGAAAAAGAAUAAAAAGCUAAAA